rnacentral:rRNA from 1 species
UACGUAGGUGGCAAGCGUUGUCCGGAUUUACUGGGCGUAAAGGGCGCGUAGGCGGGAUGGCAAGUCGGUCGUGAAAUCCCUCGGCUCAACCGAGGAACGUCGAUCGAUACUGCUGUUCUUGAGGAUUGCAGAGGAGACUGGAAUUCCCGGUGUAGCGGUGAAAUGUGUAGAGAUCGGGAGGAACACCGGUGGCGAAGGCGGGUCUCUGGGCAAUUCCUGACGCUGAGGCGCGAAAGCGUGGGGAGCAAACGGG